GGGCGAAGUUCGUCCGCGGGACUCGGAAUGGCACCAGACUUGGCGGGCGGCCUCCGUGUGCCAAAAAUAGGCCACGGGCACAGCCUCGCCCAAAAAUCAGCCCCCGAAGGUCGGGGUCCCAAGACCCCCCAGCGGAAAAAUGGCCAAAAAACGGGUGGGCUAUAGCCUUGGUGGGGGGCGUGGGCGAAGUUCAUCCGCGGGACUCGGAAUGGCACCAAACUUGGCGGGCGGAAUCCGUGUUGCAAAAAUAAGCCACGGGCACAGCCCCGCCCAAAAAACAGCCUCCGAAGUUCGGGGUCCCAAGACCCCCCAGCGGAAAAAUGGCCAAAAAACGGGUGGGCUAUAGCCUUGGUGGGGGGCGUGGGCGAAGUUCGUCCGCGGGACUCGGAAUGGCACCAGACUUGGCGGGCGGCCUCCGUGUGCCAAAAAUAGGCCACGGGCACAGCCGCGCACAAAAACCAGCCCCCGAAGGUCGGGGUCCCAAGACCCCCCAGCGGAAAAAUGGCCAAAAAACGGGUGGGCUAUAGCCUUGGUGGGGGGCGUGGGCGAAGUUCGUCCGCGGGACUCGGAAAGGUACCAGACUUGGCGGGCUGCCUCCGUGUGCCAAAAAUAGGCCACGGGCACAGCCGCCCCCAAAAAUCAGCCCCCGAAGGUCGGGGUCCCAAGACCCCCCAGCGGAAAAAUGGCCAAAAAACGGGUGGGCUAUAGCCUUGGUGGGGGGCGUGGGCGAAGUUCGUCCGCGGGACACGGAAUGGCACCAGACUUGGCAGGCGGCCUCCGUGUUCCAAAAAUAGGCCACGGGCACAGCCGCGCCCAAAAACCAGCCCCCGAAGGUCGGGGUCCCAAGACCCCCCAGCGGAAAAAUGGCCAAAAAACGGGUGGGCUAUAGCCUUGGUGGGGGGCGUGGGCGAAGUUCAUCCGCGGGACUCGGAAUGGCACCAGACUUGGCGGGCGGCCUCCGUGUUGCAAAAAUAGGCCACGGGCACAGCCGCGCCCAAAAAACAGCCCCCGAAGUUCGGGGUCCCAAGACCCCCCAGCGGAAAAAUGGCCAAAAAACGGGUGGGCUAUAGCCUUGGUGGGGGGCGUGGGCGAAGUUCGUCCGCGGGACUCGGAAUGGCACCAGACUUGGCGGGCGGCCUCCGUGUGCCAAAAAUAGGCCACGGGCACAGCCGCACCCAAAACACAGCCCCCGAAGGUCGGGGUCCCAAGACCCCCCAGCGGAAAAAUGGCCAAAAAACGGGUGGGCUAUAGCCUUGGUGGGGGGCGUGGGCGAAGUUCGUCCACGGGACUCGGAAUGGCACCAGACUUGGCGGUAGGCCUCCGUGUGCCAAAAAUAGGCCACAGGCACAGCCGCGCCCAAAAAACAGCCCCCGAAGUUCGGGGUCCCAAGACCCCCUUGCGGAAAAAUGGCCAAAAAACGGGAGGGCUAUAGCCUUUGUGGGGGGCGUGGGCGAAGUUCGUCCGCGGGACUCGGAAUGGCACCGGACUUGGCGGUAGGCCUCCGUGUGCCAAAAAUAGGCCACGGGCACAGCCGCGCCCAAAAAACAGCCCCCGAAGUUCGGGGUCCCAAGACCCCCCAGCGGAAAAAUGGCCAAAAAACGGGUGGGCUAUAGCCUUGGUGGGGGGCGUGGGCGAAGUUCGUCCGCGGGACUCGGAAUGGCACCAGACUUGGCGGGCUGCCUCCGUGUGCCAAAAAUAGGCCACGGGCACAGCCGCGCCCAAAAAUCAGCCCCCGAAGGUCGGGGUCCCAAGACCCCCCAGCGGAAAAAUGGCCAAAAAACGGGUGGGCUAUAGCCUUGGUGGGGGGCGUGGGCGAAGUUCGUCCGCGGGACACGGAAUGGCACCAGACUUGGCAGGCGGCCUCCGUGUGCCAAAAAUAGGCCACGGGCACAGCCGCGCCCAAAAACUAGCCCCCGAAGGUCGGGGCCCCAAGACCCCCCAGCGGAAAAAUUGCCAAAAAACGGGUGGGCUAUAGCCUUGGUGGGGGGCGUGGGCGAAGUUCGUCCGCGGGACUCGGAAUGGCACCAGACUUGGCGGGCGGCCUCCGUGUGCCAAAAAUUGGCGACGGGCACAGCCGCGCCCAAAAACUAGCCCCCGAAGGUCGGGGUCCCAAGACCCCCCAGCGGAAAAAUUGCCAAAAAACGGGUGGGCUAUAGCCUUGGUGGGGGGCGUGGGCGAAGUUCGUCCGCGGGACUCGGAAUGGCACCAGACUUGGCGGGCGGCCUCCGUGUGCCAAAAAUUGGCGACGGGCACAGCCGCGCCCAAAAACCAGCCCCCGAAGGUCGGGGUCCCAAGACCCCCCAGCGGAAAAAUGGCCAAAAAACGGGUGGGCUAUAGCCUUGGUGGGGGGCGUGGGCGAAGUUCGUCCGCGGGACUCGGAAUGGUACCAGACUUGGCGGUAGGCCUCCGUGUGCCAAAAAUAGGCCACGGGCACAGCCGCGCCCAAAAAACAGCCCCCGAAGUUCGGGGUCCCAAGACCCCCCAGCGGAAAAAUGGCCAAAAAACGGGUGGGCUAUAGCCUUGGUGGGGGGCGUGGGCGAAGUUCGUCCGCGGGACUCGGAAUGGCACCAGACUUGGCGGGCUGCCUCCGUGUGCCAAAAAAUAGGCCACGGGGCACAGCCGCGCCCAAAAACCAGCCCCCCGAAGGUCGGGGUCCCAAGACCCCCCAGCGGAAAAAUGGCCAAAAAACGGGUGGGCUAUAGCCUUGGUGGGGGGCGUGGGGGAAGUUCGUCCGCGGGACUCGGAAUGGCACCAGACUUUGCGGGCGGCCUCCGUGUGCCAAAAAUAGGCCACGGGCACAGCCGCGCCCAAAAACCAGCCCCCGAAGGUCGGGGUCCCAAGACCCCCCAGCGGAAAAAUGGCCAAAAAACGGGUGGGCUAUAGCCUUGGUGGGGGGCGUGGGCGAAGUUCGUCCGCGGGACUCGGAAUGGCACCAGACUUGGCGGGCAGCCUCCGUGUGCCAAAAAUAGGCCACGGGCACAGCCGGGCCCAAAAACCAGCCCCCGAAGGUCGGGGUCCCAAGACCCCCCAGCGGAAAAAUGGCCAAAAAACGGGUGGGCUAUAGCCUUGGUGGGGGGCGUGGGCGAAGUUCGUCCGUGGGACUCGGAAUGGCACCAGACUUGGAGGGCGACCUCCGUGUUCCAAAAAUAGGCCACGGGCACAGCCGCGCCCAAAAAAUAGCCCCCGAAGUUCGGGGUCCCAAGACCCCCCAGCGGAAAAAUGGCCAAAAAACGGGUGGGCUAUAGCCUUGGUGGGGGGCGUGGGCGAAGUUCGUCCGCGGGACUCGGAAUGGCACCGGACUUGGCGGUAGGCCUCCGUGUGCCAAAAAUAGGCCACGGGCACAGCCGCGCCCAAAAAACAGCCCCCGAAGUUCGGGGUCCCAAGACCCCCCAGCGGAAAAAUGGCCAAAAAACGGGUGGGCUAUAGCCUUGGUGGGGGGCGCUGGGGGAAGUUCGUCCGCGGGACUCGGAAUGGCACCAGACUUUGCGGGCGGCCUCCGUGUGCCAAAAAUAGGCCACGGGCACAGCCGCGCCCAAAAACCAGCCCCCGAAGGUCGGGGUCCCAAGACCCCCCAGCGGAAAAAUGGCCAAAAAACGGGUGGGCUAUAGCCUUGGUGGGGGGCGUGGGCGAAGUUCGUCCGCGGGACUCGGAAUGGCACCAGACUUGGCGGGCAGCCUCCGUGUGCCAAAAAUAGGCCACGGGCACAGCCGGGCCCAAAAACCAGCCCCCGAAGGUCGGGGUCCCAAGACCCCCCAGCGGAAAAAUGGCCAAAAAACGGGUGGGCUAUAGCCUUGGUGGGGGGCGUGGGCGAAGUUCGUCCGUGGGACUCGGAAUGGCACCAGACUUGGAGGGCGACCUCCGUGUUCCAAAAAUAGGCCACGGGCACAGCCGCGCCCAAAAAAUAGCCCCCGAAGUUCGGGGUCCCAAGACCCCCCAGCGGAAAAAUGGCCAAAAAACGGGUGGGCUAUAGCCUUGGUGGGGGGCGUGGGCGAAGUUCGUCCGUGGGACUCGGAAUGGUACCAGACUUGGCGGGCUGCCUCCGUGUGCCAAAAAUAGGACACGGGCACAGCCGCGCCCAGAAAUCAUCCCCCGAAGGUCGGGGUCCCAAGACCCCCCAGCGGAAAAAUGGCCAAAAAACGGGUGGGCUAUAGCCUUGGUGGGGGGCGUGGGCGAAGUUCGUCCGCGGGAGUCGGAAUGGCACCAGACUUGGCGGGCGGCCUCCGUGUGCCAAAAAUAGGCCACGGGCACAGCCGCGCCCAAAAACCAGCCCC
rnacentral:lncRNA from 1 species